rnacentral:rRNA from 1 species
CACCCGAAGCCGGUGGAGUAACCUUUUAGGAACUAGCCGUCGAAGGUGGGACAAAUGAUUGGGGUGAAGUCGUAACAAGGUAGCCGUAUCGGAAGGUGCGGCUGGAUCACCUCCUUUCUAAGGA